AUACUUAGUGGCAGACGGGUGAGUAACAUGUGGGUAUCUACCCUUUGGCCUGGAAUAACACGAGGAAACUUGUGCUAAUACCGGAUAAGUCUUUACGGAGAAAGCUUUAUGCACCAUUGGAUGAGCCCGCACUUGAUUAGUUUGUUGGUAGGGUAAUGGCUUACCAAGACUAUGAUCAAUAGCUGAUUUGAGAGGAUGAUCAGCCACAUUGGGACUGAGACACGGCCCAAACUCCUACGGGAGGCAGCAGUGGGGAAUCUUGCACAAUGGAGGAAACUCUGAUGCAGCGAUGCCGCGUGAGUGAAGAAGGCCUUUGGGUUGUAAAGCUCUUUCGUCGGGGAAGAAAAUGACUGUACCCGAAUAAGAAGGUCCGGCUAACUUCGUGCCAGCAGCCGCGGUAAUACGAA
rnacentral:rRNA from 1 species